rnacentral:sRNA from 1 species
UCCGGCAGAGCAUUCAACAAUCGAACCGC